UUGGACCUGAUUCCAGGUAAGAUUACCCGCUAACUUAA
rnacentral:rRNA from 1 species